rnacentral:rRNA from 1 species
UUAGAAUAUGAGAAACUAAGUUAUAUUUUUACUGAUUUUUAUAGAGUAAAGAUAGAAAUAAAACUUAGUAAAAUCAGUAAAAAUAUUCUUAGGCUAAAGUUAAGUAGUUUAAGUUGUGUGCAAGUGGUAGGAGAGCGUUCUAUUUGCGUCGAAGGUAUACCGGUAAGGAGUGCUGGAGCGAAUAGAAGUGAGCAUGCAGGCAUGAGUAGCGAUAAUUAAUGUGAGAAUCAUUAACGCCGUAAACCCAAGGUUUCCUACGCGAUGCUCGUCAUCGUAGGGUUAGUCGGGUCCUAAGUCGAGUCCGAAAGGGGUAGACGAUGGCAAAUUGGUUAAUAUUCCAAUACCAACAUUAGUGUGCGAUGGAAGGACGCUUAGGGCUAAGGGGGCUAGCGGAUGGAAGUGCUAGUCUAAGGUCGUAGGAGGUUAUACAGGCAAAUCCGUAUAACAAUACUCCGAGAACUGAAAGGCUUUUUGAAGUCUUCGGAUGGAUAGAAGAACCCCUGAUGCCGUCGAGCCAAGAAAAGUUUCUAAGUUUAGCUAAUGUUGCCCGUACCGUAAACCGACACAGGUGGGUGGGAUGAGUAUUCUAAGGCGCGUGGAAGAACUCUCUUUAAGGAACUCUGCAAAAUAGCACCGUAUCUUCGGUAUAAGGUGUGGUUAGCUUUGUAUUAGGAUUUACUCCGAAAGCAAGGAAACUUACAACAAAGAGUCCCUCCCGACUGUUUACCAAAAACACAGCACUCUGCUAACUCGUAAGAGGAUGUAUAGGGUGUGACGCCUGCCCGGUGCUCGAAGGUUAAUUGAUGGGGUUAGCAUUAGCGAAGCUCUUGAUCGAAGCCCGAGUAAACGGCGGCCGUAACUAUAACGGUCCUAAGGUAGCGAAAUUCCUUGUCGGUUAAAUACCGACCUGCAUGAAUGGCGUAACGAGAUGGGAGCUGUCUCAAAGAGGGAUCCAGUGAAAUUGUAGUGGAGGUGAAAAUUCCUCCUACCCGCGGCAAGACGGAAAGACCCCGUGGACCUUUACUACAGCUUGACACUGCUACUUGGAUAAGAAUGUGCAGGAUAGGUGGGAGGCUUUGAGUAUAUGACGCCAGUUGUAUAUGAGCCAUUGUUGAGAUACCACUCUUUCUUAUUUGGGUAGCUAACCAGCUUGAGUUAUCCUCAAGUGGGACAAUGUCUGGUGGGUAGUUUGACUGGGGCGGUCGCCUCCCAAAUAAUAACGGAGGCUUACAAAGGUUGGCUCAGAACGGUUGGAAAUCGUUCGUAGAGUAUAAAGGUAUAAGCCAGCUUAACUGCAAGACAUACAAGUCAAGCAGAGACGAAAGUCGGUCUUAGUGAUCCGGUGGUUCUGUGUGGAAGGGCCAUCGCUCAAAGGAUAAAAGGUACCCCGGGGAUAACAGGCUGAUCUCCCCCAAGAGCUCACAUCGACGGGGAGGUUUGGCACCUCGAUGUCGGCUCAUCGCAUCCUGGGGCUGGAGCAGGUCCCAAGGGUAUGGCUGUUCGCCAUUUAAAGCGGUACGCGAGCUGGGUUCAGAACGUCGUGAGACAGUUCGGUCCCUAUCUGCCGUGGGCGUAAGAAGAUUGAAGAGAUUUGACCCUAGUACGAGAGGACCGGGUUGAACAAACCACUGGUGUAGCUGUUGUUCUGCCAAGAGCAUCGCAGCGUAGCUAAGUUUGGAAAGGAUAAACGCUGAAAGCAUCUAAGCGUGAAGCCAACUCUAAGAUGAAUCUUCUCUAAGCUCUCUAGAAGACUACUAGUUUGAUAGGCUGGGUGUGUAAUGGAUGAAAGUCCUUUAGCUGACCAGUACUAAUAGAGCGUUUGGCUUAUCUUU